GUAACAAGGUGCCUGUCUACCUGUACAAAUACUACAAUAAUUCUGUCAUAUUCACUGACUAAGACAUUGAGGCCAAAGUGGUUUUUGGAGAAGAAAAAAAAAUCCUCUUACAUAGAAUUUGUAACAUUAUUUUGAGCCCAUGUGGACGACGAGCUGCCAAACUGUCAUCAUUUCUUCCCACUGAUUUGUCAGUGCGGUGCUAAACAGCAGGGUAAUGUGUUGACAGUGACCUAGACAGGCGCCUCCUGCAGUCAGCACAGAGCAUCACACCACAACACGGGACAACAGUUAUAACCAGCAGCAGUGUUAUUACCAAUGUGAGGACAGUACCAGAACUGACCCGUAAAAUAAAAUAAUAAUUUAAAAAAUAAACACAACUCACAGCAGUAAACAGGACGGAGGGUCUUUAAAGUAUCCGUGGGUUUCAGAGGCGUUCAGGUGCAGCCUGAAAUAUUUGACACAAGAGGCAGUAUUUAUUUCAAAUGGAGGUGGAAAAUAUAUAAAACUGUUUGUUUAAAGACAACUGUCUGUGUUAAUGAUGAUGGUUAAAAAAAAGAAACCUUUCUUACCUCAUUGUGGCGCUGUGUUCCCUUUUCAUUUGAUCAGAUGGGUUUUGUUUUAUUUAUUUAAUGUUCAAAUAUGAAGCAUUUUCAAAUCACAUUUUUAACCAAACUGGAAAGGAAAGGCUUUGAUCUAGAACCAUCUGAUUGUUUUAUAUCAAAGCCUCUGAUGGAAAAAAACCACCACUGAAGAAGAGAGCAGACUGAGAUGGGCGAUGUUUUCCCGAUGGCGUGUUAAUGUCGAAACACAAAGCACAAUCCAUCCAUCGGUUCCCAGAGUUUCCGUGUUACGUAGCAGCGCUGGCUGCAUGUGUCUGUGGUGUUAGCGAACGAUUACCCUUUGUUGAUAUUCAACAUCUGGUUCUCUGCCCUCUCCUGCCCUCCUAAAACCAGCCCCAGUCAGCUCUCCUUUUCCUCCUCCUCCUCCAUUCUCUCCUCUUGUUUUUUUUUGUAACAACAGCUGUACAGUACUUUUACAUUUUGUAGGAGAAAUAGAUUAUUUUUGUGACUUUGUUUAUUUCAGAGUAUAAGGAUUAUUUUAGAAAAUAUGUUUAAAGCCACUUUUUUAAUCUGUAAAAUAUGUACACAAAGUGUAAAGUUUUAUGAUCCUGCUGCUUUUUUUACAAAACCGAAAAUAAACCUGGUAGAAAGACA